AGGCGCGAAAACUUUGCAACGUUGGAAACCGUGACAGGGGAACUCCGAGUGCCCGUUAAAUCGGGCUGUCCAUCAGUUUAAAUAACUGGUGAAGAAAGGGCCGGGCAAGACCGGUGCCAGCCGCCGCGGUAAUACCGGCGGCUCGAGUGGUGGCCACUAUUACUGGGCUUAAAGCGUUCGUAGCUGGUUUGUUAAGUCUCUGGGGAAAUCUUCCGGCUUAACCGGAAGGCGUCUCAGGGAUACUGGCAGACUAGGGACCGGGAGAGGUGAGGGGUACUCCAGGGGUAGGAGUGGAAUCCUGUAAUCCUUGGGGGACCACCUGUGGCGAAGGCGCCUCACCAGAACGGCUCCGACAGUGAGGGACGAAAGCUGGGGGAGCAAACCGGAUUAGAUACCCGGGUAGUCCCAGCUGUAAACGAUGCGCGUUAGGUGUAUCGGUGACCACGAGUCACCGAGGUGCCGAAGAGAAAUCGUGAAACGUGCCGCCUGGGAAGUACGGUCGCAAGGCUGAAACUUAAAGGAAUUGGCGGGGGAGCAC
rnacentral:rRNA from 1 species